ACCUAACCCAGAAUUAUUCACAUACCCCAAAACAUUGGCUUAUAAACAGAAAAUUUUUGAUACGGGAAACUUUUAUCAAGCAUAUUGAGUUUCGUAUUAGGAUCACAUGAUGUGACAAGAGGUGGCACGUGAAAUCCUGCCACCUCCAGGUAAGUUAUCAUCUACUGUUAACAAUUCAAAUUUCUGCAAAAGCGUUCAAUUUUCCCGCAAACAGAGGUUAAUAUUAGGAUCACAUGAUGUGACAAGAGGUGGCACUUGAAAUCCUGCCACCUCCAGGUAAGUUAUCAUGUCCUGUUAACAAUUCAAAUUUCUGCAAAAGCGUUCAAUUUUCCCGCAAACCGAGUUUUGUACUAGGAUCACAUGAUGUGACAAGAGGUGGCACGUGAAAUCCUGCCCCCUCCAGGUCAGUCGUCAUUCCGUAUUAACAGUUUAAAUUCCCGCUAAAGCGUCCAGAUUUCCCGCAAAUCGAGUUUAGUAUUAGGAUCACAUGAUGUGACAAGAGGUGGCACGUGAAAUCCUGCCCCCUCCAGGUCAGUCGUCAUUCCGUAUUAACAGUUUAAAUUCCCGCUAAAGCGUCCAGAUUUCCCGCAAAUCGAGUUUAGUAUUAGGAUCACAUGAUGUGACAAGAGGUGGCACGUGAAAUCCUGCCCCCUCCAGGUCAGUCGUUAUUCCGUGUUAACAGUUGAAAUUCCCGCUAAAGCGUCCAGAUUUCCCGCAAAUCGAGUUUAGUAUUAGGAUCACAUGAUGUGACAAGAGGUAGCACGUGAAAUCCUGCCCCCUCCAGGUCAGUCGUCAUUCCGUGUUAACAGUUGAAAUUCCCGCUAAAGCGUCCAGAUUUCCCGCAAAUCGAGUUUAGUAUUAGGAUCACAUGAUGUGACAAGAGGUGGCACGUGAAAUCCUGCCCCCUCCAGGUCAGCCGUCAUUCCGUGUUAACAGUUUAAAUUCCCGCUAAAGCGUCCAGAUUUCCCGCAAAUCGAGUUUAGUAUUAGG